CCUACGGGGGGCAGCAGUGGGGAAUAUUGCACAAUGGGGGAAACCCUGAUGCAGCGACGCCGCGUGAGUGAAGAAGUAUUCGGUAUGUAAAGCCCUAUCAGCAGGGGAGAAAUAAAGUCCUUCGGACUUUGGACGGUACCUGACUAAGAAGCCCCGGCUAACUACGUGCCAGCAGCCGCGGUAAUACGUAGGGGGCAAGCGUUAGUCGGAUUUACUGGGUGUAAAGGGAGCGUAGACGGCAGCGCAAGUCUGGAGGGAAAUCCCAUGGCUUAACCAUGGAACUGCUUUGGAAACUGUGCAGCUGGAGUGCAGGAGAGGUAAGCGGAAUUCGUGGUGUAGCGGUGAAAUGCGUAGAUAUUAGGAGGAACACCAGUGGCGAAGGCAGCUUACUGGACUGUAACUGACGUUGAGGCUCGAAAGCGUGGGGAGCGAACAGGAUUAGAUACCCGAGUAGUC
rnacentral:rRNA from 1 species